UGGGGAAUAUUGCACAAUGGGCGCAAGCCUGAUGCAGCCAUGCCGCGUGUGUGAAGAAGGCCUUUGGGUUGUAAAGCACUUUCAGCGGGGAGGAAGGCGAUAAGGUUAAUAACCUUGUCGAUUGACGUUACCCGCAGAAGAAGCACCGGCUAACCCCGUGCCAGCAGCCGCGGUAAUACGGAGGGUGCAAGCGUUCAUCGGAAUUACUGGGCGUAAAGCGCACGCAGGCGGUCUGUCAAGUCGGAUGUGAAAUCCCCGGGCUCAACCUGGGAACUGCAUCUGAUACUGGCAAGCUUGAGUCUCGUAGAGGGGGGUAGAAUUCCAGGUGUAGCGGUGAAAUGCGUAGAGAUCUGGAGGAAUACCGGUGGCGAAGGCGGCCCCCUGGACGAAGACUGACGCUCAGGUGCGAAAGCGUGGGGAGCAAACGGG
rnacentral:rRNA from 1 species